GGGGGGCACGGGUGGGGUGAGUGAGGCCCAUCCCUACGGGACACGCGCCUCCGCGUGACCUGCUGUGGGGAGGUGACCAGGCGAGAGGCUGGCUGCAGGCCAAGAGUACUCUGCCUCAGCCAGCCCGGCCCAGCUGUGGGGAAGGUGCCUGGCCUGGGAGCGGAGCAAGGGGUUUGUGUCUUCAUUCCACCACCAUCCUGGGACCUCAGGCUUCCACAGGACCCUGCUUGAGGACUCUGGCCGCUGCUGGGGCUUGAAGCUUACAAGGCUUCCCUUUGCGGACACGUCUAGUGCUUCCGCUCUCUUAGAAGCCUCUGCCCUGCUGGGACUGCAGGGGACAGGAGAAGGAUUGGAGGAAAUGACACCUCUCAGAGUGAGUGCCAGGGACUGCCAUGUCCUGCCAGACACACCCACGUGGAACUGCCCCCAGGACCUCAAGGCAGCUUUGCCCCUGCUGGACUAAGGAGAGGCCAGGCCAACCUCAGACCCAGGGAGAGGUACCCAUGGCCCUGGGACCUCAUGAGGAGGGGAAGCAGAAAGAGACGACCAUACCUUGGUGCUGCCAUGGAGAGUUGCCAGAUUAAAGAAACGGAGGAGAGCAAAAAGAGAGAGACAGCAGUGAGAAGCUUGCCGGGGUUGGCCUGGGAGGGAGAGCGGAGGCCUGCCGCGGAUGGCCCCUGCUGCCCCCAGCCCACCGCACCCCAGAGGUAGGCUCCCUCUCUCACACACCAUACACACACACACACACACACACACACAAAACCACCACCACCACACACACACACCACACCAUACACACCCACGCACGGCACACACACGUGCGUUCACAUGUGCCCAGGCACACACACGGCCCUGCCCUGUCCCUGAGCCGGCCCCAGGACUGUCCCUUGGGGAUGCUGAUACAAAUCCACUCGCUUUCGUCUAAAAGCAAACAAGCUGGCUCUGUGUCUGCCGGCACAUUCGCCUGGAAACGGGCGGCAAGGCCCAUCUCUGUGUUUGUUUUUCCAGGGCCUGACAUGUGUAGAACAUUCCUCAGGCCCCAUUCCCCGUGAGCCUGUGGGAAACCCUGUGGCCGUCCCCAGCCAGCAGCCAAGCUCCGCCUGGAAUGGCCAUGUGGGCUGCAGCGCCGGGCGGCCUCCCUCUGUCUGUAAUGAGGACGCUCCGGGUGAGUCUGCCGUGCGGAGCCCCUGCCCGUCUGCACUUGGAGGCCAGCUCUGCUGGGAGCGCUCCCCUGUGCAGGCCCCGUGCUGAGCACCAGCCAUCCGCCAUCUCCCUGAGCCCACACCCACCCCAUGAGACUCAUCCUGCUUUGCAGAAGAAGAAACUGAGACCUACAUUUUGCCCAAGAUCCCACAGCGGGGAGAGGGAGGGAGCGUGUGCAGGCCUCUGCUAGAAUGCCUCCUCUGCUCGGUGGCCUCGAAUGGUCCAGUGAAGUGGGCAGGGGAGAGAGAAUCAUCCCAGUGGGGAAGCUGAGGCCCCAUGCAGGACAGCGGCUUAUUCGAGUCCGCUCAGGGGAUCUGUGCACUCAGGACUCGAGCCCCACACUGAGAGCCUGGGACACGGCAGGAUGUGGUCAGUGCCCAAUCAGUAAGAGGACAGGCAGGGGAAGGCCGCCCAGUCCAUGUGCGGGGCCUCACACCUGCUGCCUCAGCUGACCUCCCUCGCUCUCUGAAGCAGGGGUUUUACCUCUCAGGAGGCCCAGGGAGGCCAGGGGCUUUCCUCAGACCUCCAGGACCAGGAGGCAUGGCCACGGUCAGAACCCUGGCCUGGUCCUCUCCAGUCUGUUCUGAGAAACUUUCCCGCCCAUGGAGAGAAUCCCACAUUCUCCAAUGCCAGAGGUGAGCUAGGGACAUGGCUGGUCCCCUCUGGAAAGCAAGGCCCUGCCCUGUGAGGGGCCUGACCCGAGGGGCCUCUGGGGGCAGGUGCUGGGACAGCAAACUAGCAACACAGAGCUGCCUGCGGUGUUUAUGUGGGGAGCUGGAUCCGAGUGGGGUGCUGGGCUUGGCGGCUGCACUUCCCAGGCUUCCAGGGGACCUCUUGGGGAGACGAAGGCCUGAGAUAAGCCUGCAGGCUCAUUCUGGGCCUGGCCUGACCUAGACCUUGGGGUUCUGUUCACACACCAAGUGGGGGCCAGAGGCCUGUUGCUUUGGGGCUGGGUCCAGGAAAUGCAGUAAGGAGGGAGGGAGGAAGAAGGAGGGUCAGGGAAGGUGGCCCGAGAGGCACGGGAGGGUAGGGAGAGGGUGCAGGGAGGCCUGGCACUGUCAGCGCUGGCUUGUGGCCUCUGGGAGACAUAACUGGGGGUGCUGGGGCACAGAGCGUGCCUCUCAGGACCUGGGCCAGGGUGCCACGGGCCCCUUGGGCUGAAAAGGUGACAAAGGCAGGGAGAUCUGCUAGCACCCACUCCUCACUUCAUGUCCGUAGCACAGCCUGUGACAAUGAAGCUGAGAAGGGGAGGACUGUUGGGUUCAGGUUGGGGAUGGGGCCCUUCCUUGCCACCCUCACCCCUCUGCUCUGCUGCAUCCCCCAAGAUGCCUGCCACAUCAGCUCUUCCAGCAGAGAGCACUGGACUUGGAGUGGCCCAGCCCAGG
rnacentral:lncRNA from 1 species